rnacentral:misc_RNA from 1 species
GACUGACACGUUCACUAAUUUCAUUUUAACGCAUUAAAACUUAACUACUUUGUUUAUCAAGUAUUAAAUACUUUAUCAAAUUCUCCUAGUAUAUGGCAUUAGGAAAAAAGCUACUUUCGUUUUCCUAUUAUAUUACAUUAGGAAAAUCGAUACUUUCGUUUUCCUAUUAUAUAACAUUAACAAAAUCGCUACUUUUCUUUUCCUGAUAUAAUUAAUAGGUAACUAUAGGCUACGCCAGUGUUUGAAAAUGGCGUCAGGUGGGAAGUUCGGUAGAUCACAAAUUAACACCUCUGAUGCGUUAUAUGAUUUUCCUUGUAAUCCUUGUGCCAAGGAUGGCAAGAAUAUGGAAGCAAUAUUUCAGUGUAUGGACUGUCAGAUAUUUUAUUGUCACAGAUGUGUGACGGGGCACAACAAAUUCACUGAAAACCACAAUGUAUUGGACAAGACAUCAAAACUAUUCGGUCAAGGUCAAAGACAGCCGGGGUCAUUUUCAUCGAAUGAACUGCCGACGAAUUUAUGCGAGGAGCAUCAUGGACAAGUGAUCCAAAUGUUCUGUGGACAACAUGACACAGUUUGCUGUACAAUAUGUAUUGCUAUGAAACAUAGAUCCUGUGAAGGCGUGGAGUUCAUCCCAAACAUUGCCAAAGGACUUUUGAAGAAACAGGACAAGCACAAAACUAAAUCAUCUUUGAAGAAAGUUAAAGAUGACUUGCAGAAUCUGAAGACCAAGAUGCAAAAUGAAUUGAAGAAGUUGAAUUUGCAACGCGAUGGUAUAUUGGAUGACAUUCAAAAGUUUAAGAAAGACCUUAUAGCCAAAAUUGAAGAGUUAGAAAGAAAUUCAAUAAAAGCGGUACAGGACAAGCAUAAAGAGAUUGCAGAUGAAAUAAUUACCAGCAACAGGAAAAUUGAUGGCAUGUUGAAAGAAGUGGAAAAUCACCUUGACAAACUCAAACAAUUCAACAAAAGUAAGAAUGAAGCUCAGCGUUUUGUAGACAUUAAGACUGGUGAAGAGAAAAUUUCAGAGGGAAAUGAUUGCGCCAGACUAGCUUCUGAAAGAAGGAUGGAAACGUUGGUAUUUGGGGUGAACAGAAGCGUUAUGACUUGCCUACACGAUGUGCAGUCUCUUGGUAAACUACAGAUUGCGAAUGACGAUGCUGGUAUACAAACACUUCAUAAGUGCCACAGGUCCGAAAAGAAGUUUAUCAUAUAUAGAAAAGAAGAAUAGUGGUACUAGACCUCAAUUUUACUGUAAAAUUUGUAUGAAGAUGUUUGAGAACGAAAGACAACUCAUCGGGCAUGACUGUCUGAGAAAAAGUUCAUCAUAUAGAGAAAACAAGACAAGACCUCAAAAUACAGCUAAGCCAUUUAAAUGUAGAGACUGUGGGAAGAUGUUCGAGACCGAACAGCGGCUCCUUUUGCAUGACUUAAAUUGUUAUAACUGAA